UAGGGAAUUUUCCACAAUGGACGAAAGUCUGAUGGAGCAACGCCGCGUGCAGGAUGAAUGCCUUAGGGUUGUAAACUGCUUUUAUAUGUGACGAUUAUGACGGUAGCAUAUGAAUAAGGAUCGGCUAACUCCGUGCCAGCAGCCGCGGUCAUACGGAGGAUCCAAGCGUUAUCCGGAAUUACUGGGCGUAAAGAGUUGCGUAGGUGGCAGAGUAAGCAGAUAGUGAAAGCGUCCCGCUCAACGGGAUAUC
rnacentral:rRNA from 1 species